UACAGAGGGUGCAAGCGUUGUUCGGAAUUAUUGGGCGUAAAGGGAGUGUAGGCUGUGAGGUAAGUCUUCUGUGAAAUCUACGGGCUUAGCCUGUAACGUGCAGAGGAAACUGCUUCGCUUGAGUGUCGGAGAGGAUAGGGGAAUACCCGGUGUAGAGGUGAAAUUCGUAGAGAUCGGGUGGAACACCAGUGGCGAAGGCGCCUAUCUGGGUCGAUACUGACGCUGAGGUGCGAAAGCGUGGGGAGCAAACAGG
rnacentral:rRNA from 1 species